rnacentral:misc_RNA from 1 species
GGCCCCUGACUUUUUCUCGUCCUGUAUCAAAACAUAGGACUUGUUAAUCAGCAUUUUGAAUUAUCCAGGAGACCUAAAAAGAAGGCAUGCAAAUAUCAUUUUUCUGCUCAUAGGACUUGAUCAACAGCAAUUUAAAUCAUGAUAAGCCCUUGUCCCAGAAUAAAAGCAACUUAACAUUACCCAGAAACCCCUACAGCCAACAUCAGUAGGACGUUACCAGUUAAUGGCUUGAAAGAAAUACAUCCAAUAAAACAUUAAAAGGUCCAGAACCACCUCCAACCCCCUUGUGAUAUGAAAAAAGAAUAUCCUCUCUAAAUUGUUGGCAAAGUUGUAAUUAUCCAGCUUUUGGUCUCAUUCUCCCGAUUUGAAGCAUAUAUAACUAAAUAUUCAGACAAUUAAUGUACAAAUAAUGGAACACCAUUGUAAAAGGAAUUUAAAA